rnacentral:misc_RNA from 1 species
GAAAUGCGAUACUUGGUGUGAAUUGCAGAAUCCCGUGAACCAUCGAGUCUUUGAACGCAAGUUGCGCCCGAAGCCAUUAGGCCGAGGGCACGCCUGCCUGGGUGUCACACAUCGUUUCCCCAACGCAAACAUGGUUGAAAUCUGGGUUCAUGGCCGACUUCGCCGUGAUAAAAUGGUGGAUGAGCCACGCUCGAGACCAAUCACGUGCGAGCCGGUCAGUUCUGGACCCAUCGACGACCCUUUGCGUGCACGCACGCUCCCAACGAGACCUCAGGUCAGGCGGGGCUACCCGCUGAGUUUAA